AAAUUGAAGAGUUUGAUCAUGGCUCAGAUUGAACGCUGGCGGCAGGCCUAACACAUGCAAGUCGAGCGGUAGCACAGAGAGCUUGCUCUCGGGUGACGAGCGGCGGACGGGUGAGUAAUGUCUGGGAAACUGCCUGAUGGAGGGGGAUAACUACUGGAAACGGUAGCUAAUACCGCAUAAUGUCGCAAGACCAAAGUGGGGGACCUUCGGGCCUCAUACCAUCAGAUGUGCCCAGAUGGGAUUAGCUAGUAGGUGGGGUAACGGCUCACCUAGGCGACGAUCCCUAGCUGGUCUGAGAGGAUGACCAGCCACACUGGAACUGAGACACGGUCCAGACUCCUACGGGAGGCAGCAGUGGGGAAUAUUGCACAAUGGGCGCAAGCCUGAUGCAGCCAUGCCGCGUGUGUGAAGAAGGCCUUCGGGUUGUAAAGCACUUUCAGCGGGGAGGAAGGCGGUGAGGUUAAUAACCUCA
rnacentral:rRNA from 1 species